rnacentral:rRNA from 1 species
CCUACGGGGGGCAGCAGUGGGGAAUAUUGGACAAUGGGCGAAAGCCUGAUCCAGCCAUGCCGCGUGUGUGAAGAAGGCCUUCGGGUUGUAAAGCACUUUCAGUGGGGAAGAAAGCCUUGGGGCUAAUACCCUCGAGGAAGGACAUCACCCACAGAAGAAGCACCGGCUAACUCCGUGCCAGCAGCCGCGGUAAUACGGAGGGUGCGAGCGUUAAUCGGAAUUACUGGGCGUAAAGCGCGCGUAGGCGGUCUGAUAAGCCGGUUGUGAAAGCCCCGGGCUCAACCUGGGAACGGCAUCCGGAACUGUCAGGCUAGAGGGCAGGAGAGGAAGGUAGAGUUCCCGGUGUAGCGGUGAAAGGCGUAGAGAUCGGGAGGAAUACCAGUGGCGAAGGCGGCCUUCUGGACUGACACUGACGCUGAGGUGCGAAAGCGUGGGUAGCAAACAGGAUUAGAUACCCUAGUAGUC